rnacentral:lncRNA from 1 species
CCCAAUAACCUCCAGCAUACUCCCUGCUCAUAUAAAACUGUAAAACUUGUAGGUAUUCCUUUCCUUUGAUAACUUUGGUACCCACUCCUCCCAAAUUCCAGCACUGGAAUACUAACAGUAUGUUGAGGAUUGCUUCACGCACUGCAGACUCAGCAUUUUCCUAUGUGGCAACAAGCACAAUCCAGCCCCAGCACAAAGUUUCUCGGACUAAAACAGUAAGUUUUAGGCUUGUAGCUAGAGUCAUUGUAAC